rnacentral:siRNA from 1 species
GGGAGGUCGAAAGGUUCGGUCA